AUACUUACACCUGGCAGGGGAGAUAGCAUGAUCACGAAGGUGGUUUCCCCAGGGCGAGGCUUAUCCAUUGCACUCCGGAUACACUGAUCCCUGUAAUUUCCCCACAUGUGGGAAACUCGACUGCAUAAUUUGUGGUAGUGGGGUACUGCAUUCAUGCUCUCCCCUG
ensembl:snRNA U1 U1 spliceosomal RNA